UCUAAAAAAUAGAUCCACCUGGCUCUGUCUUGCACAAAAUAAAUUCUGAAAUAAAGCCGUACAAUUAGUUAUCCUUAAUUAACUUGCAAAAAAAGGGAAAGGAAACUAUCUGAAGGUCUUUCCACUCCUAGCAGAUUGACAUUUCCACCCGUGGUUUAAUAAUUGUUCGUGUGGAUCUUCCUGACGAGUGUCUUUUCCCCAUGACAUUUGGAGACGAUAAUCCCUGCUGUACAAGAAAGAGUCUGAACAGACCAGGAUGUGAUACAACAUCCGUUCCUUCCACGAAUGACGGCAAUACACAGAGAAAACAAGCCCCAAGUGCUUAGUGUUCGGGGUCUGUGAUGCACUGUAAAGGGCAGAGAGCAAAUGGUUUCCGCAGCGAGGAAAACCUGUUCCCAACAUCUCCGCUCAUUUCCGCGCUGUGCUUGGACGAAACUUCAAGCUUUUUACCGCGUUAACUGGCGUCUCUGCAAGGGACGUCGUUCUCAACGGUCUUCAGAGCAGCCCAGGCAGCAAGAUUCACGCACGAGGAAGGGAUUCUGUGAGAUGACAAAUCUUUUGAAUUGUUUUUAAUGUUUUUGUGGAACGUUUGAAAGUCUAUGUUGGUUACAUAUUUGGCCAUUUUUAUGGAUAAAGCAAGUUUGGUUUGAUAUUGAAAU